rnacentral:rRNA from 1 species
AUAUUGGCCAGAGACCGAUAGCGCACAAGUAGAGUGAUCGAAAGAUAAAAAGCACUUUGGAAAGAGAGUUAAACAGUACGUGAAAUUGUUGAAAGGGAAGCGCUUGCAAUCAGACUUGCACUUGGUGUUCAUCAGGGUCUCGUACCCUGUGUACUUCAUCAAGUUCAGGCCAGCAUCAGUUUGAGUGGUUAGAUAAAGGCUUAGAGAAUGUGGCCCUCUUCGGGGGGUGUUAUAGCUCUAGGUGCAAUGUAGCCUACUUGGACUGAGGACCGCGCUUCGGCUAGGAUGCUGGCGUAAUGGUUGUAAGCGACCCGUCUUGAAACACGGACC